UCACUUUAGAAGUACAUAUACUAAAAUAUGAAUGAUACAAUGGAGAUUAGCAUGACCCCUAUGCGAGAAUGACACAUCAAUACCUGAAGUACUGCAUGUUUGU
rnacentral:snRNA from 1 species